AGCGAACGCUGGCGGCAGGCUUAACACAUGCAAGUCGAGCGGGCGUAGCAAUACGUCAGCGGCAGACGGGUGAGUAACGCGUGGGAACGUACCUUUUGGUUCGGAACAACACAGGGAAACUUGUGCUAAUACCGGAUAAGCCCUUACGGGGAAAGAUUUAUCGCCGAAAGAUCGGCCCGCGUCUGAUUAGCUAGUUGGUGAGGUAAUGGCUCACCAAGGCGACGAUCAGUAGCUGGUCUGAGAGGAUGAUCAGCCACAUUGGGACUGAGACACGGCCCAAACUCCUACGGGAGGCAGCAGUGGGGAAUAUUGGACAAUGGGGCAACCCUGAUCCAGCCAUGCCGCGUGAGUGAUGAAGGCCCUAGGGUUGUAAAGCUCUUUUGUGCGGGAAGAUAAUGACGGUACCGCAAGAAU
rnacentral:rRNA from 1 species